rnacentral:lncRNA from 1 species
GAUGAUUAACAUACAUUUCCUCAUCUAGAAGAACAUAUAGCUUGGAAACAACUGAAAAAUUAAAGUAAUUCUUAAGAGUUCCUAGAAGACUCAUUAAGAAAUGGCAGACUUUGACUUCAGCGAAUUACUUUUACAAUAAAAUCAGGGCAAUAUACUGCUCCUUGCUUUGUUGCUGUUGGCACACCUGGGAAAAUAUCCUGUCCCCUCUGGCUUAGAAAAAAUGAUGUGUGCAAGGCAUCACGAUGCCACAUCUCCUGUAUGACUGCAAAAAGUG